UACGAAGGGGGCUAGCGUUGUUCGGAUUUACUGGGCGUAAAGCGCACGUAGGCGGAUCGUUAAGUCGGGGGUGAAAUCCUGGAGCUCAACUCCAGAACUGCCUUCGAUACUGGCGAUCUCGAGUCCGGAAGAGGUGAGUGGAACUCCUAGUGUAGAGGUGGAAUUCGUAGAUAUUAGGAAGAACACCAGUGGCGAAGGCGGCUCACUGGUCCGGUACUGACGCUGAGGUGCGAAAGCGUGGGGGAGCAACAGGGAUUAAGAAACCUUGUAC
rnacentral:rRNA from 1 species